rnacentral:hammerhead_ribozyme from 1 species
AUCCGACAGACGAGUCCCAAAUAGGACGAAAUGCGCUUUAUCCUGGAU